rnacentral:rRNA from 1 species
CCCACGCCGAAAGACCAAGGUUUCCUGCGCAACGUUAAUCGACGCAGGGUUAGUCGGUCCCUAAGGCGAGGCUGAAAAGCGUAGUCGAUGGAAAACAGGUUAAUAUUCCUGUACUUCUAGUUAUUGCGAUGGAGGGACGGAGAAGGCUAGGCCAGCUUGGCGUUGGUUGUCCAAGUUUAAGGUGGUAGGCUGGAAUCUUAGGUAAAUCCGGGGUUCUAAGGCCGAGAGCUGAUGACGAGUUACCUUUUAGGUGACGAAGUGGUUGAUGCCAUGCUUCCAAGAAAAGCUUCUAAGCUUCAGAUAACUAGGAACCGUACCCCAAACCGACACAGGUGGUUGGGUAGAGAAUACCAAGGCGCUUGAGAGAACUCGGGUGAAGGAACUAGGCAAAAUGGCACCGUAACUUCGGGAGAAGGUGCGCCGGUGAGGGUGAAGGACUUGCUCCGUAAGCCCAUGCCGGUCGAAGAUACCAGGCCGCUGCGACUGUUUAUUAAAAACACAGCACUCUGCAAACACGAAAGUGGACGUAUAGGGUGUGACGCCUGCCCGGUGCCGGAAGGUUAAUUGAUGGGGUUAGCUAACGCGAAGCUCUUGAUCGAAGCCCCGGUAAACGGCGGCCGUAACUAUAACGGUCCUAAGGUAGCGAAAUUCCUUGUCGGGUAAGUUCCGACCUGCACGAAUGGCGUAACGAUGGCGGCGCUGUCUCCACCCGAGACUCAGUGAAAUUGAAAUCGCUGUGAAGAUGCAGUGUAUCCGCGGCUAGACGGAAAGACCCCGUGAACCUUUACUAUAGCUUUGCACUGGACUUUGAAUUUGCUUGUGUAGGAUAGGUGGGAGGCUUUGAAGCGUGGACGCCAGUUCGCGUGGAGCCAUCCUUGAAAUACCACCCUGGCAACUUUGAGGUUCUAACUCAGGUCCGUUAUCCGGAUCGAGGACAGUGUAUGGUGGGUAGUUUGACUGGGGCGGUCUCCUCCUAAAGAGUAACGGAGGAGUACGAAGGUGCGCUCAGACCGGUCGGAAAUCGGUCGUAGAGUAUAAAGGCAAAAGCGCGCUUGACUGCGAGACAGACACGUCGAGCAGGUACGAAAGUAGGUCUUAGUGAUCCGGUGGUUCUGUAUGGAAGGGCCAUCGCUCAACGGAUAAAAGGUACUCCGGGGAUAACAGGCUGAUACCGCCCAAGAGUUCAUAUCGACGGCGGUGUUUGGCACCUCGAUGUCGGCUCAUCACAUCCUGGGGCUGAAGCCGGUCCCAAGGGUAUGGCUGUUCGCCAUUUAAAGUGGUACGCGAGCUGGGUUUAGAACGUCGUGAGACAGUUCGGUCCCUAUCUGCCGUGGACGUUUGAGAUUUGAGAGGGGCUGCUCCUAGUACGAGAGGACCGGAGUGGACGAACCUCUGGUGUUCCGGUUGUCACGCCAGUGGCAUUGCCGGGUAGCUAUGUUCGGAAAAGAUAACCGCUGAAAGCAUCUAAGCGGGAAACUUGCCUCAAGAUGAGAUCUCACUGGAACCUUGAGUUCCCUGAAGGGCCGUCGAAGACUACGACGUUGAUAGGUUGGGUGUGUAAGCGCUGUGAGGCGUUGAGCUAACCAAUACUAAUUGCCCGUGAGGCUUGACCAUAUAACACCCAAGCAAUU